rnacentral:tRNA from 1 species
GGAGUUGUGGCUCGGUGGUAGAGUGCUCGCCUAGCUUGUGUGAGGCCCUGGGUUCGAUCCUCAGCGCCA